ACGUGAACCCUGUUGUUGAGUGAAGUCGAAGUCGUUGAGAGACAGCUAAACUUUUUGAUCCCGCAUCCUUCAUUUAUAGCUAUAAUACGGUUUGAUAAUCAAUUUGUGUAGAUAUAUCUUCAACUUAAGUUUUAGUGUCGAUAGUUUAGUUCUUUGUUUUUGUGUUUUUAAUAGUGUUUUUGGUGUAGUUGGCUAGUUGAGAGUAAUUUAGCGCACUCCUGUGAACGUGGGCCACCCGAAGGACAGAAUUUGAGGUGUUGAUUCCGGACGAACUGGUGGAGGACGAUUAGGAGGAGUAGGGAGGGAAUGAGGAAGGGUUGACACAAUAGAAAUAUAAGAAAAUUAAUUCAGGCUAUUGACAUGUAUUUGAAUAAAGUGUUUGUUUAUACUAUAAA